CUCGUAGGCGGUUUGUCGCGACGGAUGUGAAAACUCGGAGCUUAACUCCGGGCCUGCAUUCGAUACGGGCAGACUAGAGUUCGGUAGGGGAGACUGGAACUCCUGGUGUAGCGGUGGAAUGCGCAGAUAUCAGGAAGAACACCGAUGGCGAAGGCAGGUCUCUGGGCCGAUACUGACGCUGAGGAGCGAAAGCGUGGGGAGCGAACA
rnacentral:rRNA from 1 species